rnacentral:lncRNA from 1 species
CGCUGGGCGGUUGCUGUGGUGACAGUCCUGCGGGCGCGGGCGGAGGUGUCAUGGCCGCACGGCGGUGCAGGAGGCCCUGCGCGCUUCCCCCCCUUUUGGCGGCGGCUCGCGGUGCCCCUCAAGGCGACUCGGCCUCGAAGGCUCAGCCCGGCGUGGGGGGCGGCAGCGAAUCCCAGUGUCUUGGCGGUUCCCUUAUACGAGAGGUGUAGGAAACCCGGUGCCUGCCGUAUUAAUUAAUGCGUGUGGUCAUUAAUCUUCAGUCCAAAGGGCUCCAAUCUUUCACUUUACAGCUUACAAUCACAUCCAAAUUUUCAUGCUAAUUUAGAAAAAAUUACAGAAUUGCAACGGUUGGGAGAGACCUCGAGAUCGUCAAGUCCAACCCCCUUACUAAAGCGGUUACCCUACAACAGGUCACACAGCCUCAUAAGGACAGAAACAAGAAUAUCUUUCAAGAGGCUGUGUGUUACAUUACUGUAUGGGAACUGCUGAGUCAUGGCCUGAACCACUGAUUGAUCACCUGUGAAAAGGACUGGAUCAGCCCUGGGAGCACAGGGUUUCCAAGAAGGCAAUGUAAAGGAUAUCCAACGUCAACAAGUGCUUUUGUUGCCAAUGCCUACUGCAGAGGAGGGUGAGGAGGCUGCCAAGAAGAGUUUCAGAAUGGAUGAAAGCCCUACACCAAACAAAGGUCUAAAGGCUGUGGUCGAGAGCAGGCAUGGACUGACCAACUAUCCACCAUUUUUGCCUCCAAAUAUUUUCCAAGUUUUAACCCUUCAUGAGAGGCUGUUCUUGUCUUGCUCAGGUGAUGUGUCUCACCUGGAAGCUGUCCUGAAAGGAUGAGAAAUCUUGUCAUUCUUUCUUCCUACGCUGAACUAACAAUCAAGACACGACUGGACUCACUGGUUAUUGUGACGCUGGCAGGCAGGGUCUGGGCACGGCUGGAGGCUGGAGUGCUCUGAGUUGUCGGGGACACUUCGAUUUUGUCAGAUGAGAUAGCUGAUGUGAUGGCCUGAAUCCACGUGUUCAUCUCCUCCUUCAAGAAGCCCGAAAGGUAGAAAGCUGUUACAAUACAUGCACCACACUCCCUCGCUCAUUCAGCAUUGCAAAUGGGGAAUGGAUAGAAGUGGGGAAUUAAACACAGCCCUAACUCAUAAUCUGGCACUCCUCUGGUUAUGCACCUGCAGGAGCUGUCUACUUCAAUCUGUAUCUAAUACCUUCUCAAUCUAUGCAUUAUGCACACAUGCAUACAUGACUGGAGACCAGAAAAUUAAAGUGUACUCCUA